UCUAGAACUCGAGAUAUGGGCUGAACACUGAACAGUGUCUGGGCUGCAGGACAGAUUCUGACUUCUCUGUUGUUGCUAAGAUUUGGACUUCUAAAUAGCAUAAUUGAGUCUUGGACUCCCUGAAUGUUUUAGGCCAAUGUCUUAGCUUUCUAGC
rfam:Populus trichocarpa scaffold_7_contig_77, whole genome shotgun sequence.